UUUUUUCUAUCUGUAAAGCUGUUUGUUUCACCGCAGAAUUGUUGAUUUCUAUCUUGCAGAUCCCUUGAGUUGCGCUUUAAUUCUUCAUCUCCUUAAUUUAAUUUGUUCAUCUGAAGCGUAAGAAGAUCAAAAGCCAAUUUACACGUGUGCUCCUAGAAUACAACUCGAUCCAUGGCGAUCAAAUCAGGACCAUGAUCGAGCACAUGGUGUAUGUUCACAAUGGAUAAAUGGUGCCGUAUCUAUGAUCAGGUAAAUCAAGGUUAAAAAAAAAAAUCAAAAACCAAAAAAAGAUGGCAUAUAGACAUCAUGAGGGCUCCAUAUCUCACCUGACAGAGAAGGAGUUAUUACCAUCAAUUCCCCGUGAUGCUGAUGUCUUACAUGCACUGCGCUUGCCAUGUUCAUUUGCUCCAAAGGUGAAGCACUUGGUGGACCAAGAAAUCCUCCUUGAGGAUUUAUGUGGGCAGAUAUGUCCCGUGACUCUAUCCUAUGUUGACAACGUAUUAUCAUUUGCAUUGGGAUGGAAAAUAUUUUAUAGGGACCAUGCUCUCACUACCAGAAACUAAGCCUUUUGUAGCUGCCGAAAAGUCGAUACGAAUGCUAAUUUUUCGAUACAAGAAGACUUUUGUGUCGACUUUGUAACGGAUUUUGACCGAUACAAAAACUCGAGUAACAAAGAGUCUAUGUAAUGACAAUUUCCUUUACAAAAAGUUGAUGGUCAACACACCUAUUACGCUCGUGCUAAAUUUAUUUGUAACGGUUGAAUUUAUUAUUUGUAACAAAAUUAUCCAUUACAAAAAAAUCCGUAUUAUUAUCCU